rnacentral:rRNA from 1 species
UACGUAGGGGGCUAGCGUUGUCCGGAAUCAUUGGGCGUAAAGAGCGUGUAGGCGGUUCGGUAAGUCCGCUGUGAAAGUCCAGGGCUCAACCCUGGAAUGCCAGUGGAAACUGCCGAGCUAGAGUCCGGAAGAGGCGAGUGGAAUUCCUGGUGUAGCGGUGAAAUGCGCAGAUAUCAGGAGGAACACCGAUGGCGAAGGCAGGUCUCUGGGCCACUACUGACGCUGAGAAGCGAAAGCAUGGGGAGCGAACAGG